ensembl:lncRNA SBDSP1 SBDS pseudogene 1
CUGCGCAGUAAGUAAGCCUGCCAGACACGCUGUGGCGGCUGCCUGAAGCUAGUGAGUCGCGGCGCCGCGCACUUGUGGUUGGGUCAGUGCCGCGCGCCGCUCGGUCGUUACCGCGAGGCGCUGGUGGCCUUCAGGCUGGACGGCGCGGGUCAGCCCUGGUUUGCCGGCUUCUGGGUCUUUGAACAGCCGCGAUGUCGAUCUUCACCCCCACCAACCAGAUCCGCCUAACCAAUGUGGCCGUGGUACGGAUGAAGCGCGCCAGGAAGCGCUUCGAAAUCGCCUGCUACAAAAACAAGGUCGUCGGCUGGCGGAGCGGCUUGGAAAAAGACCUUGAUGAAGUUCUGCAGACCCACUCAGUGUUUGUAAAUGUUUCCUAAGGUCAGGUUGCCAAGAAGGAAGAUCUCAUCAGUGCGUUUGGAACAGAUGACCAAACUGAAAUCUAUUUUGACUAAAGGAGAAGUUCAAGUAUCAGAUAAAGACACACACAACUGGAGCAGAUGUUUAGGGACAUUGCAAUUAUUGUGGCAGACAAAUGUGUGACUCCUGAAACAAAGAGACCAUACACCGUGAUCCUUAUUGAGAGAGCCAUGAAGGACAUCCACUAUUUGGUGAAAACCAACAGGAGUACAAAACAGCAGGCUUUGGAAGUGAUAAAGCAGUUAAAAGAGAAAAUGAAGAUAGAACGUGCUCACAUGAGGCUUCAGUUCAUCCUUCCAGUGAAUGAAGGCAAGAAGCUGAAAGAAAAGCUCAAGCCACUGAUCAAGGUCAUAGAAAGUAAAGAUUAUGGCCAACAGUUAGAAAUCGUAUGUCUGAUUGACCUGGGCUGCUUCCGAGAAAUUGAUGAGCUAAUAAAAAAGGAAACCAAAGGCAAAGGUUCUUUGGAAGUACUCAAUCUGAAAGAUUUGAAGAAGGAGAUGAGAAAUUUGAAUGACACCCAUCAGUCUCUUCACCUCUAAAACACUAAAGUGUUUUCGUUUCCAACAGCACUGUUUCAUGUCUGUGGUCUGCCAAAUACUUGCUCAAACUAUUUGACAUUUUCUAUCUUUGUGUUAACAGUGGACACAGCAAGGCUUUCCUACAUAAGUAUAAUAAUGUGGGAAUGAUUUGGUUUUAAUUAUAAACUGGGGUCUAAAUCCUAAAGCAAAAUUGAAACUCCAGGAUGCAAAAUCCAGAGUGGCAUUUUGCUACUCUGUCUCAUGCCUUGAUAGCUUUCCAAAAUGAAAGUUACUUGAGGCAGCUCUUGUGGGUGAAAAGUUUUUUGUACAGUAGAGUAAGAUUAUUAGGGGUAUGUCUAUACGACAAAAGGGGGGUCUUUCCUAAAAAAGAAAACAUGAUGCUUCAUUUCUACUUAAUGGAACUUGUGUUCUGAGGGUCAUUAUGGUAUCGUAAUAUAAAGCUUGGAUGAUGUUCCUGAUUAUCUGAGAAACAGAUAUAGAAAAAUUGUGUCGGACUUAAAUAAUUUUCGUUGAACAUGCUGCCAUAACUUAGAUUAUUCUUGGUUAAAAAAUAAAAGUCACUUAUUUCUAAUUCUUAAAGUUUAUAAUAUAUAUUAAUAUAGCUAAAAUUGUAUGUAAUCAAUAAAACCACUCUUAUGUUUAUUAAACUAUGGCUUGUGUUUCUAGACAA